AUUGAACGCUGGCGGCAUGCCUUACACAUGCAAGUCGAACGGCAGCACGGGGGCAACCCUGGUGGCGAGUGGCGAACGGGUGAGUAAUACAUCGGAACGUGCCCAGUAGUGGGGGAUAGCUCGGCGAAAGACGGAUUAAUACCGCAUACGACCUACGGGUGAAAGCGGGGGAUCGCAAGACCUCGCGCUAUUGGAGCGGCCGAUGCCAGAUUAGGUUGUUGGGGGGGUAAAAGCCCACCAAGCCGACGAUCUGUAGCUGGUCUGAGAGGACGACCAGCCACACUUGGACUGAGACACGGCCCAGACUCCUACGGGAGGCAGCAGUGGGGAAUUUUGGACAAUGGGCGAAAGCCUGAUCCAGCCAUGCCGCGUGCGGGAAGAAGGCCUUCGGGUUGUAAACCGCUUUUGUCAGGGAAGAAAUUUUCCGAGCUAAUACCUCGGGAGGAUGACGGUACCUGAAGAAUAAGCACCGGCUAACUACGUGCCAGCCGCCGCGGUAA
rnacentral:rRNA from 1 species